AUACGUAGGUGACAAGCGUUAUCCGGAUUUACUGGGCGUAAAGGGCGUGUAGGCGGUCUUGCAAGUCAGAAGUGAAAUUCCUGAGCUCAACUCGGGCGCUGCUUCUGAAACUGCAGGACUUGAGUGCUGGAGGGGAUAGCGGAAUUCCUAGUGGAGCGGUAAAAUGCGCAGAUAUUAGGAAGAAUACCAGUGGCGAAGGCGGUUUGCUGGCUGCAUACUGACGCUGAAGCGCGAAAGCCAGGGGAGCGAACGGGAUUAGAUACCCCGGUAGUCCUGGCAGUAAACGAUGUAUGCUGGGUGUGAGACUAGCGAUAGUUUCGUGCCGAAGUUAACGCGAUAAGCAUACCGCCUGGGGAGUACGGUCGCAAGAUUGAAACUCAAAUGAAUUGGCGGGG
rnacentral:rRNA from 1 species